rnacentral:rRNA from 1 species
UGUCCUACGGGAGGCAGCAGUGGGGAAUAUUGCACAAUGGGGGAAACCCUGAUGCAGCGACGCAGCGUGCGGGAUGACGGCCUUCGGGUUGUAAACCGCUUCAGCAGGGAAGAAGCGCAAGUGACGGUACCGCAGAAAGAAGUCCGAUUGGCCCA